rnacentral:rRNA from 1 species
UACGUAGGGUGCGAGCGUUGUCCGGAAUUAUUGGGCGUAAAGAGCUCGUAGGCGGUCUGUCGCGUCUGCUGUGAAAACUCAGGGCUUAACUCUGAGCUUGCAGUGGGUACGGGCAGACUAGAGUGCGGUAGGGGAGACUGGAAGUUCCUGGUGUAGCGGUGAAAUGCGCAGAUAUCAGGAGGAACACCGGUGGCGAAGGCGGGUCUCUGGGCCGUAACUGACGCUGAGGAGCGAAAGCAUGGGGAGCGAACAGG